GUGCCAGCAGCCGCGGUAAGACGAACCGUGCGAACGUUGUUCGGAAUCACUGGGCUUAAAGGGCGCGUAGGCGGGCUGCCAAGUCCGGGGUGAAAUCCUCUGGCCCAACCAGAGAACGGCCUCGGAUACUGGCGGUCUGGAGGGGGGUAGGGGCACGCGGAACUGUGGGUGGAGCGGUGAAAUGCGUUGAGAUCCACAGGAACUCCGGUGGCGAAGGCGGCGUGCUGGACCCCACCUGACGCUGAGGCGCGAAAGCCAGGGGAGCGAACGGGAUUAGAUACCCUGGUAGUCC
rnacentral:rRNA from 1 species